rnacentral:rRNA from 1 species
GGUUUGAUCAUGGCUCAGAUUGAACGCUGGCGGGAUGCUUUACACAUGCAAGUCGAACGGCAGCACGGACUUCGGUCUGGUGGCGAGUAGCGAACAGGUGAGUAAUGUAUCGGAACGUGCCGUGCCCUAGUAGCGGGGAUAACUACGCGAAAGCGUAUAAUACCGCGCCCUUCAGGGAAAACAGGGGACCUUCGGGCCUCGCACUAUUAGAGCGUGAUAUCGGAUUAGCUAGUUGGUGAGACAACGGCUCACCGGCGACGAUCCGUAGCUGGUUCCAGAGGACGACCAGCCACACUGGGACUGAGACACGGCCAGACUCCUACGGGGAGGCAACUGAUGGGGAAUUUUUGGACAAUGGAAACCUGAUCCAGCCCCAUCCCGCGUGUGCGAUGAAGGCCUUCGGGUUGUAAAGCACUUUUGGCAGGAAAGAAACAGCACGGGAUAAUACCCCGUGCAACUGACGGUACCUGCAGAAUAAGCACCGGCUAACUACAUUGCCCGUGGCCGCGGUAAAUACGUAAGGAAGGUGCAAGCGUUAAUCGGAAUUACUAUGGGCGUAAAGCGUGCGCAGGCGGUUCGGGAAGAAAGAUGUGAAAUCCCGAAGCGCUUUGGAACUGCAUUUUUAACUACCGAGCUAGAGUGUGUCAGAGGGAGGUGGAGAUUCACGCGAUAACAGGUGAAAUGCGUAGAUGACGCAGGAGGAACACCGAUGCUUGAAGGCAGCUAUGCGGAUAACACUGACGCUCAUGCACGAAAGCGUGGGGCAAACGAAGUUAAAUGCCCUGGUAGUCCGCCUAAACAGGAAAUAUCAACUAGCUGUUGGGGCCUUCGGGCCUUGGUAGCGCAGCUAACGCGUGAGGGUUGACCGCCUGGGAAGUACGGUCGCAAGAUUAAACUCAAAGGAAUUGACGGGGACCCGCACAAGCGGUGGAUGAUGUGGAUUAAUUCAAUUAACGCGAAAACCUUACCUACCUUGACAUGUCUGGAGAUCCCGAAGAGAUUUGGGAGUGCUCGCAAAGAAGACAGACCCACAGGUGCUGUAUGGCUGUCGUCAGCUCGUGUCGUGAGAUGUUGGGUUAAGUCCGCAACGAGCGCAACCCUUUGUCAUUAGUUGCUACGAAAGGAGGCCUCUGGCCGGGCUGCCGGUGACAAACCGGAGGAAGGUGGGGAUGACGUCAAGUCCUCAUAGCCUUAUAGGUAGGAGCUUCACACGUCAUACUGAUGAGUCGGGACAGAGGGUCGCCAACCCGCGAGGGCCAAUCCAGAGAAACCCGAUCGCUAGUCGGAUCGCAGUCUGCAACUCGACCGACGAAGUCAGGAAUCGCUAGUAAUCGCGGAUCAGCAUGUCGCGGUGAACUCCGUUCCGGGUCUUGUACACACCGCCCGUCACACCAUGGGAGUGGGUUUUACCAGAAGUAGUUAGCCUAACCGUAAGGAGGGCGAUUACCACGGUAGGAUUCAUGACUGGGGUGAAGUCGUAACAAGGUA